UUGCAGAUAAUGCUGUUCUUCUUUUUCAGAAGUUUUUGGUGAGCCAACCCUCACACACCUUCCUAAAAACUAAAAGAGCUAUUACUGAGUCUCAGCGAAUCUUGCCAUGAUCAGCUCUUCCCAGAAGAUAAGGAAGACCAAGGAAAUGAUUUGCUCAGGAUGAGGAAUGAAGACGGCCAUCUUGUGCUCAAACAAAGACAGAAGUCCACUGAUGAUCUCAUCAGCCAAAUGAGGGGUUUUGACCAAGUGAUGCUCUUGAAAGGAGUGAAGGAAGAGGAUGUGGUAAAUUGUCUUGAGAGAAAAAGCUUCUCAAAAGGUCUUAAAACAGCUUGAAUAAUGGUCUGGGAUCUUAGGACUGAGAGAUCCUCUGGCUGAGAAAAAGCUACACCACAUCAGUGCUGGAUAUCAACCACAAACUGUUUCCAGACACGAGAGAAGAAGAUCACGAUGGGGAGAUGAAACCAGUUUAGAUGUGAUGAUAAGGAAUCAUUAUUUUCUGAAACAGUAUCACAUGAUCUGUAUCACAGUUGACUGGAUGGAAUCUUUUUACUUUUAAGGACAUUUCAUCACUCCUCUGUGUGAACUGAUUAAUUUAUGAUAUUAAUUAAUUUUUGAUCCAUUAUUAUUUUCCUUAAAUCGUGUUUGUCUUGAUGCUAC